rnacentral:rRNA from 1 species
AGACGAACAGCUCAGUAACUCCUUAUUUGAUUUGAUGUAUUAGGAUUCUAACUAUGUUAAAUUAUAGGUAACAAUAAUACAAUAAGAAUAAGAUCUAUCAGUUAGUUGUUAAGGUAAUGGCUUAACAAGACUAUGACGGAUAACGGUAUUACUUUGUAAUAUUCCGGAGAAGGAGCCUGAGAGAUUGCUACUAAGUCUAAGGAUUGCAGCAGGGGCGAAACUUGACCUAUGAUAUUAUAUUGAGGCAGUUAUGAGUAGUAUUUUAUAAUUAUUGUAGUAUUGUAAGUACAUAUUACAAGAUAAAUCGGAGGGCAAAUCGAGUGCCAGCAGCCGCGGUAAUACUUGUUCCGAUAGUGUGUAUGAUGAUUGAUGCAGUUAAAAAGUCUGUAGUUUAUUUUAUAAUAAGCAUUGUAAGGUAUACUGUAUGGUUAGGAGAGAGAUGAAAUGUGAUAACCCUAACUGGAUGAACAGAAGCGAAAGCUGUAUACUUAAAUGUAUUAUUAGAACAAGGACGUAAGCUAGAGGAUCGAAGAUGAUUAGAUACCAUUGUAGUUCUAGCAGUAAACUAUGUUGAAUCAUAGAUAUAUUUUGAUAUAUAUUUAUGUAGAGAAAUUAAGAUUAUAUUGACUCUGGGGAUAGUAUGAUCGCAAGAUUGAAAAUUAAAGAAAUUGACGGAAGAAUACCACAAGGAGUGGAUUGUGCGGCUUAAUUUGACUCAACGCGGGGUAAUUUACCAGGUAUAACAUGNUAUAAUAUUUUAUCAUGAUAGUGGUGCAUGGCCGUUUCCAAUGGAUGCUGUGAAGUAAUGAUUAAUUUCAACAAGAUGUGAGACCCUCAUUUAGACAGAUGUAGUGAUACAUAUGAAGGAGAGGAUUAAAACAGGUCCGUUAUGCCCUAAGAUAAUCUGGGUUGCACGCGCAAUACAAUAAUAUUUGAUAUUAUAAGGGAUAAUAUAAUGUAAGAUAUAUUUGAACAUGGAAUUGCUAGUAAAUUUUAUUUAAUAAGUAGAAUUGAANGAGUCCCUGUUCUUUGUACACACCGCCCGUCGCU